AGAAGGAAAGAAAGAAAGGGAGAUCCGUUCAAACCGUCGACAUUUUAGAGAAACCUCAAGUUGAGAAAAAUGCUAGGGGGAUUGAGAUGAAGCUGCUGCCAAAAUUUGGUGACCAUCGGAGAAGUUGACCGCCGAGUGAACAGUACCGCGCGUGAACAGUGCUGUGCGUGAACAGUGGACGACGUACCGAGCUAUUGCUCGAUGACGGAACACGAAUGCGUGAUCGUCAGAAUAGUACUUUUGCAGGCGAAUUAGUGAGGUUGGGCGUACACGGAGUUGAGGCAUAGUCAACAGCAUGGCUUCCGCGUUUGCCUUUGAGUUAGGUUGUCCUUAUUUACUUUUCUAUUAGAAUUGCUCUGAUUACCUAUGGGAUUUAUGUUUUUCAAGUUGAGAUUUGUGUUUUGUGAAUUGGAGAUU
rnacentral:lncRNA from 1 species